CAGAAGAGGACGAUAACUGGGGACAAAGGAUAUGUACAACACGUCAAUGAAGAGAAGUGGGGAGAUACAACGAGCAUCUAGACGACUGAUUUGGUACAUGGCAGUGACGCAUGGCGCCCGUUGAUGCCGAUAGAUGGCAGCAGAGGGCGGAGGCUCAUCAUCAAUUUCGAAUUGUGGAUCACGGCAACCGGCCUGGCGGGUUUCGGGAGCCAAGGUGAUGAAGUGGGCCAGGGCACCUGGGUUCCGGCGAUUAAUUGAAGGUUCUGAUUGGAUCAAAGUUG
rnacentral:misc_RNA from 1 species